ACGCUGGCGGCGUGCCUAACACACGCAAGUCGAGCGAGGAGAUUCCUUCGGGAUGAUCCUAGCGGCGGACGGGUGAGUAACACGUGGGCAACCUGCCUCAUAGAGAGGAAUAGCCUUCCGAAAGGGAGAUUAAUACCUCAUAACAUUGCAGUUUCGCAUGGAACAGCAAUUAAAGGAGUAAUCCGCUAUGAGAUGGGCCCGCGGCGCAUUAGCUAGUUGGUGAGGUAACGGCUCACCAAGGCGACGAUGCGUAGCCGACCUGAGAGGGUGAUCGGCCACAUUGGGACUGAGACACGGCCCAGACUCCUACGGGAGGCAGCAGUGGGGAAUAUUGCACAAUGGGGGAAACCCUGAUGCAGCAACGCCGCGUGAGUGGUGACGGCCUUCGGGUUGUAAAGCUCUGUCUUCAGGGACGAUAAUGACGGUACCUGAGGAGGAAGCCACGGCUAACUACGUGCCAGCCGCGGC
rnacentral:rRNA from 1 species